rnacentral:rRNA from 1 species
UACGUAGGGGGCAAGCGUUGUCCGGAAUCAUUGGGCGUAAAGAGCGUGUAGGCGGCCAGAUAAGUCCGCUGUGAAAACUCGAGGCUCAACUUCGAGCUGUCGGUGGAAACUAUUUGGCUAGAGUCCGGAAGAGGAGAGUGGAAUUCCUGGUGUAGCGGUGAAAUGCGCAGAUAUCAGGAAGAACACCCGUGGCGAAGGCGGCGGCCUGGGUUGACACUGACGCUGAUGCGCGAAAGCCAGGGGAGCGAACGGG